GACGAACGCUGGCGGCGUGCCUAAUACAUGCAAGUAGAACGCUGAAGGAGGAGCUUGCUUCUCUGGAUGAGUUGCGAACGGGUGAGUAACGCGUAGGUAACCUGCCUGUUAGCGGGGGAUAACUAUUGGAAACGAUAGCUAAUACCGCAUAAGAGUAGAUGUUGCAUGACAUUUGCUUAAAAGGUGCAAUUGCAUCACUACCAGAUGGACCUGCGUUGUAUUAGCUAGUUGGUGGAGUAACGGCUCAACAACGCGACGAUACAUAGCCGCCCUGAGAGGGGGAUCCGCCACACUGGGACUGAGACACGGCCCAGACUCCUACGGGAGGGAGCAGUAGGGAAUCUUCGGGAAUGGACGGAAGGCUGAACGAGCAACGCCGCGUGAGUGAAGAAGGGUUUCGGAUCGGAAAGCUCUGUUGUAAGAGAAGAACGAGUGUGAGAGUGGAAAGUUCACGCUGUGACGGUAUCUUACCAGAAAGGGACGGCUAACUACGUG
rnacentral:rRNA from 1 species